rnacentral:lncRNA from 12 species
AUUUGUUUUGCCCAUGAUGGUAAUUGUUAAAUGAUGUCUCUCUGUCCUUAUCUUGACCAUGAGCCUUUCAUCAUACUUUCUCUCCCCUGCCCAGCUAAGGAGGGAAGUGAUGGAGCAGCUUUGGUGGACACCUGUCAUCUGGCCAGUAUAAACCCACUGCAAGGAAUUAGGGACCUUCUGAGCAGGAAUAUCUGCAAUAUCAUUCUUAAUAAUCACAGUCAGGAAAUGUGACCUGACUUUCCGGUGCUUCCCACAAUUCCCAUUGAAG